rnacentral:tRNA from 1 species
AGCCCUGUGGUCCAGUAGGUCAAAGACGGCAGGCUCUGGUUUAUUAAAGAGAAACCUGCAAACGGAAGUUCGAAUCUUCCCGGGGCUA